CGGACAUUCAGUAUGUGCCAACAUAGAUAAGAGAAUAGAUGCCUUCAUGCUCACUGAAACGGCUUAUAGUGGGAAAAACAUUCUGCACGUAUUCAUUGGCACUGCUAAGAAUGUCUCCUUUUGCUGUUGGGAUGGUACUCAAAGGUAGCAAGGCUUGUAAAACAACCCGAUAUUCCAAGCACCUCUUUACAGGCAAUGAAAAGUUGGCCCUGAAGUUACUCUCCCAAGUUGUUUGAGAAAUAACUCCCGUUAUAGCACAAAUCGGUAAAACGACAGUGCGUCUUUAAUCCCGCCCCCGGAGGAACAGCAACGCAGCCUUUUCGCCUCUCCUACUUUAAUAUUUUGCGACCCAGCCUGGAAUCCACAGAGCGCAAUCAUCUGACUGACUUUUUUUUUUCUGGUUACUAAAAGGCUUGAAAAUUAUGAAUAGUCCCUUAAAUCGCAGAAGCGGUUUUGGUUGGUUUCUAGCAACGUCUAUUACGGUGAUGUCAGCAGAAAAAAAAUCACAGGGAAAGGCGGACCCGGUCGUUUCCAGGAGUCGGCGCUGCUAAGGGUAAUGUUCAUUUACACAUCUGAGAAAUCAUGAAAUCGGUGUCACUUGCAGCCAUUUUUUGGUGUAUCCUAAUACCAUCAUUUGAGACCAGCAAGACAUUUGAAGACAUACGCUGCAAGUGUGUCUGCCCACCAUAUCGGAAUAUAACAGGACAGAUUUACAAGAACAAUGUAUCACAGAAAGAUUGUAAUUGCCUGCAUGUGGUGGACCCUAUGCCAGUGCCAGGACAUGAUGUUGAGGCAUAUUGCCUGUUGUGUGAGUGCAAAUAUGAAGAACGAAGCACCACGACUAUCAAGAUUAUCAUCAUCAUUUAUCUCUCAGUGAUUGGAGCUCUUCUACUCUACAUGGUCUUUUUAAUGGUAGUUGACCCUUUUAUCCGCAAACCUGAUGCCUAUACACAGCCCCUGCACAAUGAAGAAGAGUCAGAGGUUCCCUGUUCCUUGACAGCUAUACAUCCUUCAGCGAAUGCUAGAACAAAUACAGUGCUGGAGAGAGUGGAAGGAGCCCAGGAAAGGUGGAAGCGUCAGGUGCAGGAACAGCGGAAGACUGUGUUUGAUCGGCACAAGAUGCUAAGCUAGACCUUUUAUUUUAGGUGUGAGCUGCAGCUGCUGGUUAGCUAGGCAAAAUUUUGUUCGCCAGUACAGACCCCAAAUCUGUAGUUUAAAUAUCUUGCACCUACUGUUUCUGAUUGGAUUUGCUUGUUGUCUUCCUCUUCAGUCCACCCAAGAGAAUAUGCUGCAUUUGAAGCAAGCUGCUGGCUGCACGUGCCAUCUAUGAUUCUAUGAGGACUGCCACUUGCUUUAAAUAACUCUAGGAUAACUAUUUGACUUCAAAAGUGAGAAACAGUUGCAACUUUGGGUUCUAUAAUCUGCCAAGCAUUGGUCUGGUUUGGUGAUUAAAAAAAGGCAUGCAUUUAUUUGUUACUGCUUACUAACCUAUGGCUUGGCUUUUAGUUUGAGUUGGAUGUUUUAUUAAUAGAAUGAGAAUAGCAACAUCCUUUUCAUUCCAUUGACUGUAUGCCGAUAUAUGAUCCUUCACUGUUGCAAAAUAGAGCAACAAAAUAGAGCAAAAGUGGCUUGGGUCUUAUGUAUAACAUGCUAGUUUGAAAAGUUGGCACUAAAGAUAGAAAUGAAAUAAGGGAAAUUAACUUGCCAUAAAGGAGUUACUGUAUUUGGCUCAUAAAUUCGUACAGAUUCUUCCUUCAAGGAUUUUUGGGGGGAUAGUUAACUUUACACCAAAGAAAUAUGGACAGAUUUUUUUUUUAGCACUAUCAUAGUUAAUGCAUUUAACCCAUCAAAAGAAUGACUCUGGAUGAGCUCCGUGCUUCCCAAUCUCCUUAAGGGACCAAAACCAAAAGGCUUGUGAGUGUCUCUUCUACAUGCAGAUUUUUAAACAGUCAAGUGGUUAUACAGAAUACAGAUUCUUGUACUUUUUGCUGGAUUCACUGGAUUAUUUAGUGCAAAGGAAAUUGCCCUUCUACAUGUGGCAGUCUAUCCCAUUAUGCAAAACUGAAUUCCACUAUCAAAGGACAUUUAGAGAAAUAUAGCCCUACAUUUUAUUAUUAUCCCAAAAAGUGCCAUGCAACAUGCAUCUUUUAAAAUAAAAUUUAAGUUGGCUUAAUAGAAAAUUUCCUGCGUGAUACUGGAUAUUCCCCUUGGCCAACAUGACUACAAUUACUUAUUUUAUUCUAAUUUUACAAUACAUCUUGCCCAGAUGUAGGGACCUAUAGCAAUUAGGUCUAGGUCAACAAUUAAGGGAAAGUAGCAUUAACAGUAUGUAAUUGUGAAAUGUAAUGUUCUAAUGAUCUCUCAGUACCUACUAUCAAAAGAUCUUGAAGGGUGGACAGUAUUUUUUCAGCAUACUUAAAUAUUCCAGUAUUAAGCAAACUACUUUAUCUCUCUUGAAGUAUCUCUUGAAGAUUGUAUCAGUCUUUCUUGCUAUGCAGCAUCUUUUCAUUAAACCCAGAAUGUUAGUAUAACCUAGAUGUCAGGCAUAAUUCAAUACUUUUUGUUCAGAAGGAGAUAUCAUGCAAAGGUUUGGAGAAUAUAUAGAAAUGGGGGGGGAUCAUAAAAUACAUGUUAGGCAUAUCAUAUCUGGACUGUAAAAAUCCAAAUGAUCAUUUAUGGGCAGAUGACCACUUAUGGGUAUCCAUAUGGUCCAGCCAUGUCUAAAAUACAGUAUGCACAUUGUAUCAUCAGCUGGUUACUAAGUAUGCAUCUGCAAAAAAUGUUAUGCAUUAUUUACAUGGAAGUAUCUGUUAAGUAUCUGCUUUUAUGUACUGAAAAUAUUUACAAGCUAUAUUUUAAAAUUCAAAUAUUCAGUGAUGUACAAAAAAGAAGUAAUAGAAAAAAACUUUCUAAGAUGUCAACAA